GCUCAAGCCCCUGCAGGGAGCAGUUGAGCUCAAAACCCAGCUGUGCUUGGGAGAAGUUGAAGAAACGCUGUGAGAAGCAGGAGAUUUGUGAGAGGCCUGGAGGCUGCCAAUUCAUAACACCAGUCCUGCAAAGCCUUAGAAAACACUGUGAGCCACAUGGGGUCAGUGGGUCUUGGCAGAAGAAACAUCUGUAAUAAAGUGCAAUUUACAGCAAACUGAAGACUUCCCAGAGUGCUGAUACCUUUCCAGGAACCCUGUGGAAAUGACAUAUUGCAUCGCUCACCCGGAGCCCUUCCUGGAGGUCAGCUGCUUAGAGCACUGCUGGGGACAGACAUCGCCUGCAAGCCACCGGAUCAAACUGCAAAAGCAGGCCCUACAAGAGGAAGGAAUGAUGGAAGAAGGAGCAGUGGGUAAACCUGCUAAAAGGAAGGAGUUAGCAUUGCUACCUAUGGUGGGCUCACUAACUACAGCACAGGCAGCUUUAGUGCAUGCUGUUGUGUGCCUUCUUAGCAGUUUUGUAAUCUGAUUAAUAAACCCUAUGAUUUCUGUGCA